rnacentral:rRNA from 1 species
AAUGAACGCUGGCGGCGUGCUUAACACAUGCAAGUCGAACGAGGCUGAGGGGGCAACUCCUCAGUUUAGUGGCGGACGGGUGAGUAACACGUGGGUAACCUGCCCGGAAGUGGGGAAUACCUCGGGGAAACUCGAGCUAAUACCGCAUAACAUCUUCGGGACGAAAGUCCUGACGAUCAAAGCGGGGUCGCAAGAUCUCGCGCUACCGGAUGGGCCCGCGCCCGAUUAGCUAGUUGGNGGGGUAACGGCUCACCAAGGCUUCGAUCGGUAACCGGCCUGAGAGGGCGAUCGGUCACACCGGAACUGAGACACGGUCCGGACUCCUACGGGAGGGCAGCAGUGGGGAAUCUUGCGCAAUGGGCGAAAGCCUGACGCAGCAACGCCGCGUGGAGGAUGAAGGCCCUUGGGUUNUAAACUCCUGUCGGCUGGGAAGAAAUCGUUCCCGGGUUAAUACCUCCGGAAGUUGACUGUACCAGCAAAGGAAG